UUCAGCCUGAUAACAGAUAUUUACUUUAUAAGAACGUUUGAAAGUUAAAUAACUCUAUAAAUUCAAAUAAUUAAAUAUGAUAGAUCCAGAAUAUUUAAUUUCCCCUGAUCCCUGCCUAGAUGAGUUUAUUCUACCAAACACAACUCAGUUUAUGCAAGCAAUAGGUCCCUGGAGUUAUGUUCUCUAUACAACUGGAGCUGUGAAUGUAGUAGUUCUUAGUAUCCAGUAUAUAUUCCUAGCAAGACAAUUCUUUAAUACUAUAGAAUCAAACAGACUGGUAUCAACUCUAUGGGUAUCCUCAAUAUAUCUUGUAAUAUCUGUUUUCAACAUGGUUGGAAUAGUUCUCCCCCAAGCGAAUGAUUUUCUAUGGUUUGCAUACAAGAUUUUUGUUGGUAUAUCUAUGGGUCAUUUUGUUGAUUUAACCUUGACCUGGUACGGAGGAGAAACAGCAAUGCUGGAACAUGUUGGAGAGGAGACAAGCUUAAACUUCAGGAAACCACCCUGUUGUUGUUGUUUAAUUCUUCCAACCAACGCAAGAUUAACAAAAAACAAAAUAAGGUUUCUACGUGGGUCCGUUUAUCAGAUUCCAUACACAGAAUCUUUAAGUCUCCUUAUACUGGUUAGCUUAGAGAUGGCUGGUUAUGUUACUGAAGGAUCUUUAACCCUAGCUUCUCCUGAUAUUUAUAUAACAGUUCUAAUCUCAUUAUCAUCCUUCUGUGGAAUCUGGGGCCUCUUUAUGUUUUUUAAUAUAACUCAACAGUUUAAUCUACUAAGUAAUUUCAAUUAUGCGAAGAAGUCUGGGUUGAUGAAGAUUACUAUUAUCAUCAUAAAUUUCCAGAGUAUGAUUAUUGAUGUUUGUAACCGGUUUGGACUAAUAACGUGUAUUCCUGGUGCCUUAUCUCCUUCAGGAGUAGCAAAUCUUAUUAAGGCACUAAAACCGGGACCGCUUUAAGAGAAGUCCGCUCUCUUCUGAGGGCAGUUGGCAACUGGAAAUAUUCCAUAUAAAAGCUGUAUGUGUGCUUAUAGAAUCCUUUCUGUUGGGAACGAUGGCGUUUUUUGUUUACAAAGAUGAAGGAACGUAUAUGUAAAAUAGACAAAA
rnacentral:misc_RNA from 1 species